AAUCAGGAUGAGUGCAUGUGAAGGUGUAGAGGUCACACCGUGUAUGAAGCCCUGCUCGAAGGGCUCCGUGAUGCUCAGCAGAUCUCCUCCCUGGUUCACGCAGUCGGCUCGAGCGUCCGCCCACGACCUCAUCGACAGAUGAAGUCCCUCGAGCUGGUGCAGUAAUCAUCAUUGAGUAACCCAGGUUCCACUUCAUUCAUCCCUCUGAUGUGCACACAGUCCUCGUUGUCCUGCCAGUUGUCCGGCUGGCCGGGCACCCACGGGAGGAGAUCCUGAGAUCGGAGACAAAAACAGCCCAGAAUGAAAUAAACUGUUUCAGAAUGAGCAGUUUCACACUGGCACAUUGUGGAAACAGGCGUCCAUGGGAUGUGACAGGAAUUCUUUCUCUCUCUCUCUCUCACUGAAAGUGCAACUGUCAACUAUAUCAUUUAUUUAUUCAUCUCCAGCCCUCACAUUAUUUAUUUUAGAGACCACCACAGAGCUAAGAUUGUCAAACGGAGGUCACGUUCACGGC